UGUUUUUCUGGUCGAAGUAUAAGCCCAACCAUAAGUCGCAAGCAGUACAUUUAGUUUUAAAAGCUGAACAAGUCGAUUGUUGUCCAAGAACCUCUUACUAACUCCACAAUUUAAAUCAAAAUGAAACUCUUCUGUUCAUUAAUACCUAUUUUUUUCGUGGGUGUUUUGGCAUAUGAAAGAAGAUAUAUACAAUAUAUUUUCACUACAA